rnacentral:rRNA from 1 species
UACGAGGGGUGCAAGCGUUGCUCGGAAUUAUUGGGCGUAAAGGGUAGGUAGGUGGUCUCAUUUGUCUGGGGUGAAAGCCUUGAGCUUAACUCAAGAAGUGCCCCCGGAAACGGUGAGACUGGAGUCCUGGAGAGGGUUGUGGAAUUCCCGGUGUAGCGGUGAAAUGCGCAGAUAUCAGGAGGAACACCGGUGGCGAAGGCGGGUCUCUGGGCCGAUACUGACGCUGAGGAGCGAAAGCAUGGGUAGCGAACAGG